GGGCCGUGUUUCCUUCAGAUAUAAUUUUUUAUAGAUAGAUUUAGAUUUAAAACCAGUCAUACUGUCACACACGUUCCAACUCGUAUUUUUUUCAGAUUUUUCACAUUUUUAAUAGGAGUCUUAUUGCACACCAAGCACGUAAAAACCACCUAAAAGAAGACCUGGGUCAUUCUUUAUAUCAUUCUGAUGUUUAGCCAUGGUGUACGAGAUUGAUUUUCCAUAAUCCGAUUAUAAGUUUUGUAUACAACAGUUCCAGGGUAGUACAUUCAACCCUUUCAUAAAUUUUACCCUAGAAUAUUACCAC